rnacentral:rRNA from 1 species
AUCAACUUUCGAUGGUAGGAUAGAGGCCUACCAUGGUGGUAACGGGUAACGGGGUGUUAGGGCACGACACCGGAGAGGGAGCCUGAGAAACGGCUACCACAUCCAAGGAUGGCAGCAGGCGCGCAAAUUACCCAAUCCCGACACGGGGAGGUAGUGACAAUAAAUAACAAUACGGGGUUCUUUUGGAUCUCGUAAUUGGAAUGAGUACAAUUUAAAUCUCUUGACGAGGAACAAUUGGAGGGCAAGUCUGGUGCCAGCAGCCGCGGUAAUUCCAGCUCCAAUAGCGUAUAUUAAAGUUGUUGCAGUUAAAAAGCUCGUAGUUGAAUUUCGGGGUUAGUAGGCUGGUCAUGCCACCGGUAUGUACUGGUCUUACUGAUUCCUCCUUCCUGAUGAACUGUAAUGCCAUUAAUUUGGUGUUGCAGGGAAUCUGGACUGUUACUUUGAAAAAAUUAGAGUGUUUAAAGCAGGUUAACGCUUGAAUACAUUAGCAUGGAAUAAUGAAAUAGGACGUUCGAUCCUAUUUUGUUGGUUUCUAGGAUUGACGUAAUGAUUAAUAGGGAUAGUUGGGGGCAUUAGUAUUCAAUUGUCAGAGGUGAAAUUCUUGGAUUUAUUGAAGACUAACUACUGCGAAAGCAUUUGCCAAGGAUGUUUUCAUUAAUCAAGAACGAAAGUUAGGGGAUCGAAGACGAUCAGAUACCGUCGUAGUCUUAACCAUAAACUAUGCCGACUAGGGAUCGGAUGAUGUUAAUUUUUUAAUGACUCAUUCGGCGCCUUACGGGAAACCAAAGUGUUUGGGUUC